rnacentral:rRNA from 1 species
GGUUGCGAUCAUACCAGCACUAAUGCACCGGAUCCCAUCAGAACUCCGCAGUUAAGCGUGCUUGCGCGAGAGUAGUACUAGGAUGGGUGACCCCCUGGGAAGUCCUCGUGUUGCAACCC